UGGUGGAGUGAUUUGUCUGGUUAAUUCCGAUAACGAACGAGACCUUAACCUGCUAAAUAGACCAGCCGACUUUGGUUAGCUGCUGUCUUCUUAGAGGGACUAUCAGCGUUAAGCUGAUGGAAGUUUGAGGCAAUAACA
rnacentral:rRNA from 1 species